AGCUCAGCACUGGGCAUAAAGUGUGCGCAGGCGGUGCUGUAAGACAGGCGUGAAAUCCCCGGGCUUAACCUGGGAAUGGCGCUUGUGACUGCAGUGCUGGAGUGUGGCAGAGGGGGAUGGAAUUCCGCGUGUAGCAGUGAAAUGCGUAGAUAUGCGGAGGAACACCGAUGGCGAAGGCAAUCCCCUGGGCCUGCACUGACGCUCAUGCACGAAAGCGUGGGGAGCAAACAGGAUUAGAUACCCUGGUAGUCCACGCCCUAAACGAUGUCAACUGGUUGUUGGGUCUUUUCUGACUCAGUAACGAAGCUAACGCGUGAAGUUGACCGCCGUGGGGAGUACGGCCGCAAGGUUAGAAACUCAAAAGAAUUGACGG
rnacentral:rRNA from 1 species